rnacentral:rRNA from 1 species
GAGUUUGAUCAUGGCUCAGAACGAACGCUGGCGGCAUGCCUAACACAUGCAAGUCGAACGAGAUCUUCGGAUCUAGUGGCGCACGGGUGCGUAACGCGUGGGAAUCUGCCCUUGGGUUCGGAAUAACAGUUAGAAAUGACUGCUAAUACCGGAUGAAGUCUUCGGACCAAAGAUUUAUCGCCCAGGGAUGAGCCCGCGUAAGAUUAGGUAGUUGGUGGGGUAAAGGCCUACCAAGCCGACGAUCUUUAGCUGGUCUGAGAGGAUGAUCAGCCACACUGGGACUGAGACACGGCCCAGACUCCUACGGGAGGCAGCAGUGGAGAAUAUUGGACAAUGGGCGAAAGCCUGAUCCAGCAAUGCCGCGUGAGUGAUGAAGGCCUUAGGGUCGUAAAGCUCUUUUACCCGGGAUGAUAAUGACAGUACCGGGAGAAUAAGCCCCGGCUAACUCCGUGCCAGCAGCCGCGGUAAUACG